CCUUCUCUGCCCCCCAGUCCGCUCCUGCUCAGCCCCUCCUCCCCACGCACUCGGCUGCCCUCCUCUCUCCUGAGGGCUGCCCGGCACCUUGGGCGAGGAGUUCGGAGCAGCCCCAUCGCAGAGCCCACGGCCGGCCGAGCGCGCACGACGCAGGAGCCCGAGUCCCCGCGCCGCCGCCAUCUCUGCCUUCCGUCGAGUUGGACCCCGGGAUCGAGGUGGGACCCGCUUCCCUCUCCGGCACCCACUAUUGCCACCUCUUCCCGCUCCGGGCUUCCUGCCUACUUUGGAAACUGAAGGGACUGCCACCUAAAACGGUAUACUUCUCUGAAGUAAGAUGAUUUGUCAAAAAUUCUGUGUGGUUUUGUUAUAUUGGGGUAAGUUAUUU